rnacentral:rRNA from 1 species
AAUAGAUACCCAGGUAGUCCACGCCGUAAACGUUGGGCGCUAGAUGUGGGGACCUUUCCACGGUUUCCGUGUCGUAGCUAACGCAUUAAGCGCCCCGCCUGGGGAGUACGGCCGCAAGGCUAAAACUCAAAGGAAUUGACGGGGGCCCGCACAAGCGGCGGAGCAUGCGGAUUAAUUCGAUGCAACGCGAAGAACCUUACCAAGGCUUGACAUACACGAGAACGGGCCAGAAAUGGUCAACUCUUUGGACACUCGUGAACAGGUGGUGCAUGGUUGUCGUCAGCUCGUGUCGUGAGAUGUUGGGUUAAGUCCCGCAACGAGCGCAACCCUCGUCGCAUGUUGCCAGCACGUUAUGGUGGGGACUCAUGUGAGACUGCCGGGGUCAACUCGGAGGAAGGUGGGGAUGACGUCAAAUCAUCAUGCCCCUUAUGUCUUGGGCUUCACGCAUGCUACAAUGGCCGGUACAAAGGGCUGCGAUGUCGUAAGGCGGAGCGAAUCCCAAAAAGCCGGUCUCAGUUCGGAUUGAGGUCUGCAAC